ensembl:lncRNA
CAGGAACUUAGAAGAUAUCAGUCCUUGGACUGUCUGGAAGUUCAAUCUAACAGAGAACUACUGUGGGACUUAGAAAAUUUCAGCCAUCAGACUGUGUGAAAGCUCAGGUCCUGAGGACUCGGGAGGUCUGGAGGCUUUGAAAGUCUUGGAACUGAGGGUUCAACCCUCCAGCACAAAGGCUAAAGUCCAACCUCCUGAGAAAAACGAUCGAGUCGAGACUCAAGUUAAAAAAAACUUGAAAAUGGCAAAAAAAAAAAAAAUAGAUGAUAAAUGCGCAAAAAAAAAAAAAAGUAUCGCGCGCAGCUUAGAGGGAACAGUGGUCCCAAAACUGUUGAUAAAUUAUUUCUCAAUAAAACCUCAUAACCAGUUACAUAAGCACACCCUCUUUACUGACCUCUUUACCAAUAAACCCCAAGACAUAUUUUGCCAAAAUCCAUAAUAAUCCAUAAAAUCUUUAUUUGCACCAGCCCCAUGUGAAAAUGACAUCAGUCUGUAUUUGUAGAGCAUCUCAUGAAUGUAACAGCACCGUUUAAAUGUUUCAUAACACAGAAUAUAAGCAAAGAGUAUAUAGGGAUACAGACAAACAUGGGAAAUAAGAAACGUGCUCUUCAAUAGUUAUUGUCAUUAUUAUUACUAGUAAUAUUAUUUUUGUGUCCACUAGAACCCAUACAAACAUCUAGUGUAGUCAAAGAGGAAUGUGUGCAUGGCGAAUCAAAUCCAAAACAAUCCAUGAACCAACGACCACGUCUUGAUUGCACUUCAUUUUAUUAACCACUAGAUGUCCUACUCGAGCACUGUGUGUCAUUGAGGCCUCGAGUAAUGAACCAUGUUUUGAAUGAAGUGUCGAAGCUUCAACAAAGCCUCGAUCAGCCAUCACUACUCAUGAUUAUACUUGAGGGACAGAGUGGCCUCAGUAAUAGUACUACAUUGUAUUAUUCCUGUGUAAGCUGCAUUUCAAUAUUACAAGAUGGUUGAGGAGGAACAGAUUUUACCUGCUUUGUUCGCUGCUGGGUAGUUUAUAAGUAAGUAGUUUGUAAAUGCAUCUGCAGUUUAAACAAUUCAAAUAUUCAAAAAAAAACCAAAAAAAACCAAAAACAAUUAUUCAUAGAAUAAUUCCAGACCCACGGACAGCAUCCCCAGCAGCAGACCAGCUACAGCCCCCAAUAUGGAGGACCCCCCUGAGGAAACACUGGCGUUAAAAAAAAAAACAACAACCCCCCCCCCCCAAACUUUAAAGUAUAAGGUAAAAGGGUUAUACGAUAAGAUAAAUAAAAAGUUGUGCUAACCACCGAACUACUGCGUAGCCCCUGUAUAAAGUUAAUUGAUUU